GAUGAACGCUAGCGGAAGGCUUAAUACAUGCAAGUCGAGCGGUAGGUGGCUUCGGCCAUUGAGAGCGGCGCACGGGUGAGUAACGCGUACAUGACCUGCCUGUCAGAAGGGGAUAGCCCUGGGAAACUGGGAUUAAUACCCUAUGGUAUUGAUAUUAUGAAUGAUAUCAAUUAAAGUUGAGGCGCUGACAGAUGGAUGUGCGUCUGAUUAGCUAGUUGGUAGGGUAACGGCCUACCAAGGCGACGAUCAGUAGGGGGCGUGAGAGCGUGGUCCCCCACACGGGUACUGAGACACGGACCCGACUCCUACGGGAGGCAGCAGUAAGGAAUAUUGGUCAAUGCCCGCAAGGGUGAACCAGCCAUUCCGCGUGGAGGAUGAAGGCCCUAUGGGUUGUAAACUUCUUUUAGAUGGGAAGAAAAUGCUAGAUGUAUCUGGUACUGACGGUACCAUCAGAAUAAGCACCGGCUAACUCCGUGCCAGCCGCCGCCGUAAAAC
rnacentral:rRNA from 1 species